AACGAACGCUGGCGGCGUGGAUAAGACAUGCAAGUCGAACGAGGAAUGCACUUAGCUUGCUUUGAGUAUUCCUAGUGGCGCACGGGUUAGUAACACGUGAGCAACCUGCCCUGAAGCGGGGGAUAGCCUUUCGAAAGAGAGAUUAAUACCGCAUGUGACCUACGGGUUAAAGAUGCCUUCGGGUGUCACUUCAGGAUGGGCUCGCGGCCUAUCAGCUUGUUGGUGAGGUAAAGGCUCACCAAGGCGACGACGGGUAACUGGUCUGAGAGGACGAUCAGUAACACUGGAACUGAGACACGGUCCAGACACCUACGGGUGGCAGCAGUCGAGAAUCAUUCACAAUGGGGGAAACCCUGAUGGUGCAACGCCGCGUGGAGGAUGAAGGCCCUAGGGUCGUAAACUCCUGUCAUCAAAGAGUAAAGCUUAGCAGUUAAUACCUGUUAAGCCUGAUAGUAUUUGAAGAGGAAGGGACGGCUAACUUCG
rnacentral:rRNA from 1 species